rnacentral:SRP_RNA from 1 species
UAUAUAAGCUAUUACAAUACUAGCGGCUAAUUGUGUCAGGAUAGAAAUAUAGCAGCACCGUGCCAUCCUAGAUGUGUAAUAGCUUUUUUUUAUUG